GACUAUUUGACCUCAAAU
rnacentral:rRNA from 1 species